rnacentral:rRNA from 1 species
CCUACGGGUGGCUGCAGUGGGGAAUAUUGGACAAUGGGCGAAAGCCUGAUCCAGCCAUGCCGCGUGUGUGAAGAAGGCCUUCGGGUUGUAAAGCACUUUCAGUGGGGAAGAAAGCCUUGGGGCUAAUACCCUCGAGGAAGGACAUCACCCACAGAAGAAGCACCGGCUAACUCCGUGCCAGCAGCUGCGGUAAUACGGAGGGUGCGAGCGUUAAUCGGAAUUACUGGGCGUAAAGCGCGCGUAGGCGGUCUGAUAAGCCGGUUGUGAAAGCCCCGGGCUCAACCUGGGAACGGCAUCCGGAACUGUCAGGCUAGAGUGCAGGAGAGGAAGGUAGAAUUCCCGGUGUAGCAGUGAAAUGCGUAGAGAUCGGGAGGAAUACCAGUGGCGAAGGCGGCCUUCUGGACUGACACUGACGCUGAGGUGCGAAAGCGUGGGUAGCAAACAGGAUUAGAUACCCGGGUUGUC